rnacentral:misc_RNA from 1 species
CCUGGGAAGUUCUCCAUUCCACCUGUGGGACAAAACCGUGAGGCUUAUGACCAAAGCGGAUAAUUCCUCUAAUGGUUGGAGUUUGACUGUUACAAAUCCAAACCCCCUUGCUAAAUCUCUCUCAAAUGUUCCUAUAAUUCCUACAUAGCCUACUAUUGUCCUAAUCCUGCACCCCACUUACUUGUGUACAAAGCUCUGAGAACCUUUCCUCGGGGAGUCAUCACUACUGUAGCAGGAUGAUUAGAAAUCAUCCAUUUCUGUGUUCUUUCAUCUAAUCCUAUGCAUUGGGGUGUGCUUAUCCUUAACCUGCACUAUUAGAAUUUGUUCGAGAUUGGCCAAGUAUUGGUCAUGGCAGCGCUACGCACAAGGGUAUGAUCUUUUCUUUCAGUGCCCAAUUUAAUCAUUUAUUUUUUUAAUAUUGAUGAAAUUUGUUUUUUGUUCUUUAAUUUUAUUGAAUUUUUUUGGUGGGUUAUUGCGUUUUACUUUAUUUUCAACAAAAUUUUGCUGAGUUUGUUUUCAUUUGCUUCAAAUCUCUGUUUUUGAUUUUGUUCAUUUGAUCAAAUUUUCAAGUUUAUGUAUUUGUUAUUAAAUUGUUGAAUGAAAUAAUAGCUUUUGAGAAGCCUAUAUUGACACUAUUUUUUUCUUUUUUGAAAGAUACUUUCAUUGCAGAAAAGGCUGAAGGCCCAAUUCUACUAUAAUUUACCCUAGCUAAAAACCAAUAAACAAUUAUAGCUCAUAACUAGGCAGAUCAAGGCUUGAGUAAAAAAAACCCUAAAAGCUAUCCUAAACCGGAACUAGGAAAAGGCCUAGAAGCCUAAAACGAAUAGAGUCCUAGCUAUACAGCAAGACUUUCAUCUGGGAACCAGAACCAACGCCACCAUCCAAGAAGAAGCUUUUACAUUACCAGUAGGGAAGAUGAUCGAACAGGAGAAAAGCACUAAGGAAUCAAAAUACGAUUAAGCGUAUAGAUAGACUAUUCCUCUCAGGCAUCCUUGAAGUUUAAGACUAACAAUAGAACCUAUGAGCAUUGAUAAUGGAGAGCCACUAAGCCUAGAUGGUGUAUCGAGAAAACGUGUAGGUAGACUAAGGAAACUUCGCAUUGGUACCAAGGCAAGUAGAGCACAUUGGCUAUAGGGCUAUUUGACGUCCCACUUAUACCUUCUUAACUAAUCUCCUAGAUUGCUUCCCACAAGCAACACCACUAAUUGCAUGUAAUUCAUGCCAAAUUAGUUUCAAAGAGGAAUACGCCAAUGCUUCAAGCUUCCAAACCCACACCAAAACACCACAAACCUCCAAAAACCACACAUGUAAUCAUCAACAAGGUUACUUAGGUCUGCAAAGACACCUCACCAAUUCAAGCGUCAGACCUUCGAAAACACCAAAACACCCAUAUUUACAACCACCACCCAACACUUGGAAUGAGAAAUACCCACUGUCGGGCAGAGGGGAAGGGGGCCCCUGCCCGUGAGGAGCAGAGGAACAGCUAAAUCGGUAGAAAAAAAAAGGGUUUGAAAACCUUAGCUCAAGGAACCAAUGAAACUAGAGAGAGAAAAGAGAGAAGGGGAACCUUCGAUACUUUUGUUUGUUUCUAUUUUCAGUUGGAACUUGUUUUGAAGGAAAAAGUUUUUUAUUUUUCAAGUUUCAAAAUUUUUAAUAUAUAUAUAUAUUUUUAACCAUAUCCAUAAUACACAUCUAACAAUAAUUCCAAUAAUUCCUAUAAAUUAAAAAAAAAAUUUCAUACCAUAAGCAACAGCUGCAGCAGCAGCUAACAACAACAAAUUAAUCACAAGCAAGAGGAAAGAACUAUAUUAUGGAUAUUUGCCCUUGUAUAUAUGAUUACAUCACUUGUUUACUAAUAAUUGCUGGAAGAACAUUCACUGAUAAAAUCCUAAUGCAAUAAUGAAUUAAAUUCUGUUCAAGUUUCUCCUACAUACCCAGAAAAAGUAUACUUGUAAUCAUCCCCAUCCGCAAAACCAAUACUAGGAUCCUUUCCCUCCCUAGUUAUCCUCCUAACUCUCUCUAUCCUAUCAAGAAUUCCCUUGACUGCUAAAUCAAAUGCAUCUUCAGUGGUUCCCAUUCUAGACCUGGGGUCUGCAUAUAUAAUUCUUGGAAUAAGCUUUAUAAUCUCCUCUCUCAGAGCCAAUACCCUAUCUUCUGGUAUUUUAAGUAAGGUCUCAUUUAUGCCAGCUUUCCAAUCUUUAGCAUCUCUCACAGGUAUAUACACAGAAUAUUUACUAUAAUUCUUUGGUAAAUGCCACUUAUAUUGUGCAUAGGCAGUACCUGGAUGAAAGAAAACUGGAAUGCACCCUGCCAAAAUUGAAUCGAAUAUGGAUCGCCUAGUGUAUGAAUCUCCUGGAGGUUGCAAGCAAAAAACUGAAUUCUGAAACAACCUCAUCACAUUCACUGGAUUAUCACAAUUAAUAGCACCAUUAACACCAUAAUCACACUCUAACAACUUGCACAAGUUGUUUGAAGCUAUGCAUUCCUCAAUAAUCUUGCCUCUGACAGACCCUAGAAGAUCAGGCCUCGGAGCACCAGCAAAAGAAAACAGGUAUGGUCUUGUUUGUCUUCUCAUCUUAUCUUGCCAUUGAAACACCUCACUGUCUUUUGAGGGAUGAAAACAAGUUGGAUAUGGUAUAGCAUAAUCAUUGUUCCAAGAACUAGACUCAAUUGCCAACAUUGACAUGUUAUUAGAUUCUGGCAAGAACCUAAGCUUGCUACCCCAAUCAGACUCAUUAUCAGUUUGCCUUCUAAAAUCCCAAGCAAUCCUCCCUGCAACCAAGAAAUGGUCUCUACCCAACAUUUUCUUCCACUCAGGUUUUUCAACAAGCCACUUGACAAGAUCAUAACCAGAUUGAUCUCUCACUGAUGUUUUAACACCCCAAAGAUAUCUGCUAACAUCAAGACCCGCAUAAAAUGGCACAUAAAUAGCUGAAGCAAGGGAAGAAUCAUUGGUUAAGCACUUGUAUUUCUUCAUCCUAAAGUGGAAUAUGACUUCCAACAAGAAUUGAUUAGUAGAGUACCAACUCUUAUUUAACAAAAUUCCUUGAGAAUUUUCUACUUCAUGACCCAGAGCAGAAUUAACCAAAUAUGGACAAAUGUUAUGCUCAGUCCCUCUGUUAAUUGACUCACAAUUUUCAAUCAAUUCUUGGUUGAAUCGGCUAGGAAGACGAUGAAUAAAAAUGUAUCGACCCAAACAAGAAUCUUUAACAGAUUUUUGUUGCACAUUAUCCUCUCUAAGAUAAUCAGAUUUCAUGGGUCCAAUGGAGGUUUCAUUGACAUUUUCAGGGAGUUGGAGGGAUUUCGAUUUGUGGGUAGAGAUUGAAUCUUCAUAAUUACUGACAGAAACAGAUACCCUUUCUUGGGUUCCAGUUAGAGCUGAAUAAUCAAAGCAAAACAAUACAAAGCAGAAAACAAAGGAGACAAGAAUGACCAACCAGAGAUGAUUGUUGCAGCAAUAUCUGGUGACUGGCUUCUCCAUCUUCUUUUGAUUGAUAGGCCUUCCAAAAAGAAGCAGAAACAAGUGUGAAAUAAUAGUUUUCUUGGAUCAAAAUGCACAAUUCUGGCUGGUAAAGUGGAAGGGAAAGAUGAAAAAGAAUUAAAGCUAAAGCUGGGUUUGGAUCUUGGAAUGGAUUAUCAGAGUUUUUUGUAUGGAUUCGUGCCUAGCUUUAAUUGUGAGGGUUACUUUCCCAUCGCAAAUUCAGGGUUGUUAAUAAGAGAAGGA